UAUUUCCGUACUUAUUGAUUUUUGUAACCACUUUGUGUCACCCUGUGAAGUUGGAACACAUUAGUUAUCGAAAAUCAGCGACGUCGUUUACUUCACCUGCGUGAAGUUCCCAACGAUAACCACCAACGAAAACUCGCAAAAUCUGCUGGCGCCAAAAUAUUAUGCUGUGAACAAACUAAUUCCAUUCUGGAGGACGAAAUUGGAGGGCAGGACACAAAAUUCAUUCUGGAGACCAUAAAUGUGCCUAAACCAAAAUAAAGAGAAGAUCAACACAUA
rnacentral:sRNA from 1 species